UCUCCAGCUGAAUGACAAACAAAAGGCAAUAUAAGCACUGCUGACAUUUCUAAAGGAGCAGCGACAUGAGGAAAUACCACUAUGUGUUAAAAACCCUGCUGCAAAGGGCUAAAACACUGAAAAGUCUCCAAAACUGUCUUUUCUGAGCUCUCUUAAUGCCAGGAAAUGGGUACUUUAAUAUUCUCAAAGCUGCACUGAUCCCUGCCCUGGGUUGGUCUGUCACCACAAGGAAGCAAUUCCUGAGUGCCCUUGGAAAGCUGGGUUGAGCUUCCCCCUCACUCUUUGACACUUCUUGUCAACAACUACAAAGUCAUCACACCUGGUAGGCAAGGAAAAAAGGCUCAUAGAGGGGAAACGUUGCCCACCUGGGUAGCCACAGUCUGGGCCAUUCAAUAGGACUGGCAUGCCAGGCUGCUGUCAAGGUGCAGCUCUUCUGUGUGAUGGAAGAAGAGGGCACUGCAAGCCUGGAGAAAAGCAUUCCCUUCUCUGCAGCAUCAGAUCCUGGAGCUUUGAAUCAACAAACUGCUGAUCAACGUGCGUAGGUGGGGCCCUGGAUGUUACCCCAGUGGGAUGGAGUUUUACAGCGACCAAAUCUCAGCCAUCCGUUCUGCUGCCGGCAGAGCAGAACGAAGCGGUAACGAACAGCGCGGGGAAGGAAACCCACCGGCCCCCGAGCUACACCCAGCCCGCAGGGUUUCAUCGAGGCAGUCAGCUCAAGCGUGGCAAACACAACUGAGGGCUCUGCUUUCCUCCUGCACCACAGCUGGCCCACCCUGCACAGCUGGAAGGCCACCAGCUCUCACCUGCUGGGCACAGCGAUGCUGGCUCUGCUCGUGGGGACACCAAAAUCCAUCCGUUGUGGCAAGAGAGAGGCUGGGGAGGAAGGAGGAGAGCAGGCGACGUCUGAACUGCGAGCUCCGCCGUAGAAAGAGUUUCAGUUCCCAGAUAACGUGGCGCUGUUCACAGAUUUCAGCUUAUAUAGGCUUUUCCAUAUAUCUAUUUUUAUUCCCGAAGCAUUCCCUGUUGCUGUAUGAUGAAAAGAAGGAUCGGACAGCAUGGAUGCUGUCAGCUAUCUGAACACGUUCAUAUCCUGGCUGUAAUAUUCCUAACUGUGCACCUUGCUGAUGCUACCUGUGCUCUGAGAGACAAGCCAGGACACUCCUUGGCCAUGCUGCCAGCUGCAGUAGCCAUCUCCAUGGCAAGUUUUUGCAAGUCAGAGCCUUGCCGAAAAGGGAGGGCAUUUGACAACAGUGGGGAACCCGGGACAGAUGGGAAAAGACAUAUGAAUCGUGUGCCUGCCAAAAUAGCCAGCAUAAAAAUCUAAACAUAAUAAGUGAGAGGAAAGAAGAAAGAAUAAUUUAAAAAAAAAAAGGCAUGGUCUUGCCUCUUAUUCUGCAGGAGCAAAAUGCUUCUUUUGGUGCUGGCAUCUGGCACAUGCUGGCCUUGGAAGAACAGAGCUGGGACAAGCUCUCCCUCCACCUUCUCCUUCCCAUACACAUAUUUCUGAGCACAACAUUACAGCGCCAGGGCCAGUGAGGAGGCAUUCCCCAUCCCUCCACAUUUCCAGGCAUCAUCUGACCUCCUGCCAUGCUGCUCACCCACCCCCCUGAAGUCUCUCCCACCUACACGAUCCAAGCUCAUCAGGGUGAUCUGGCCCAGGGUAUGAGCCUGCUCUAGCCCAGACCUGGCAGCACUCAUCCCCGUUGCACACCAGCAGGACUCAGAUGCACGAUACCUGCACAGAGCCCCAAAGAUCUGGAAGGAGAGAGCCCAGACACAUUCAGACACAAACUUUCCUUCACCGACACUCAGAGGGACCAGGCAUGGACAGACUUGAGCAAGCACAGCUCUUCCCAUGCAAUAUACAGACAUUUUGAACUCAAGCUAUACCCAGAAACACGGAAAGAAAGUCACAGGGCUGCAAGCAUGUAAACCUGCCCUCUGCUUGCACACUGGCACUGUGUUAGCAGCUUAACCUCUCAUCCCAUAGCUCCCUGCUCCACCUCCAUGCAGCAGCUCCUACCUUCCCAGCUUACUGCUUCCACCACCCCAGGUCCUCACAGCCUUAUUCUCCAAGCCCAUCAUUAUUCUCCAAGCCCAUCAUUAUCCUCCAACUUGAACCGUCCAGAAACGGAAAGAAGGCUCCUGUGGAGAGGGUGCUGUGAGUGACUUGAACCACUCUGCACUUACAGGUAAGGAGGACAUCAGGUCUUAGAGCUUAACCCUCUCAGCUCACCCUUCCCUGCUCACCAGGGCCAGGCAGGCAAUGGGGGCAGAAAUCUGGGCAACGAGCGCUCCCACCAGAAAGUCCUUGGGCUCGAGUGAUGCUCUCUCCAUGCAAGCAGGAGAGACUCUUCCUGCACGGAACACAAUACAGCACGUAAAUCUUCUGGAGUUGCCAAAAGCAACCCGUUAUAAAUGGCCCUCUAAGUUAUGAGAUAUGGACUCUCCACUGCACAGUUCAUAAAUAAUACUCCGAUCUCUCUGUGUAUGGAAUUGUAAGUUCUGUGACAGCUCUGCUUAUCCGAGGGAGGACACGGUUAAAAAUGGAGCAUCAGGAAAAUACUACUUUUUAAUUACAUAGCAAAUAUUUUAAAAAAAGAAAGAUAAGAACCUUGCUGCAAUCUCCCAAAUCCAGGAAUAAAAACCCUUUCCUAUGACAACAAAACUAAACGUACUUAAUAAGAAAAGAAGAUCCGUAAAACAGAUUUUAUUUUUUUCCAUGCAUUAUAACCAGCUAUUCACAAAGCAGAGGCUGGGAUGGAAAGAGAGAGUGUGCCUGUGAAAGUGUAUUUAUAAUCUGGUUUUCAGCAGCAUCCGAAGGCCCUGCGAACAGGAUCCUGGUAUGUGAACACCGUGCAGACACAGUCCGAGGAAGCAGCCUGAGGAACAAGCACUGCCGCUGCACUGAGGGGAAGUGACAGUGGCACAGAAAAGGGCCACCUGAAGAACUGGAGCCCCGAUCGUUUCUUUCCCCCCUUCCCUUUCAGGAAAGCAUCCCCACCCGACCUGUUCCCACCCAGACCCCCUCCCACAACGCUUGGCAGAAGGGCACACGCUGACCCCAGCACACACCUGCCGCCAGCACCUGGUCACUUGCAGGCGCCUUUCUCGGACGUGUCCCUUCCACUUUAUUUUCCUGCCGCAGCUUGAAUCUGUCCCCUUUCCUCUCCCCCUUCCAUUCUAACCGGAGAGAGCGCGUAUCAGGCUGGUGCGUUUGCAAUGCAGACGAAAAUUAAAGUUGCGUUCAUCGCUGGAUAAUCCAAGCGCCCCUGGCGCAGAGGAGGGCCACCAGCGACCCGCUCCGCAUUUCGGGCAGCGGGGCUCCCGCAGCUCGGCUUUACGCCUCCCUCAGCAUCGGCUGCGUCCUCUGCCGAGGUGCAAAUCCGGCAGCAGCACACGCCGCAGGGACCUUCCCCUUCCCCUUGUCCCCUUGUCCCCGUGCCUCCGUCCCCCAGCCCGGCCCGGGGGCGCAGAGCUGCGGGUCCCUCCCGGCGGUUCCCACGGUGCGGGGACCUCGGGCUCCCCGGCGCCUUCCCGACCGCAGCCGAGUGUUUCCGCCUUUUUCUUUUUUUUUUUUCUUUUCUUUCUUUUUUCAUUUUUUUUAGGGGUGAUUUUCCCCGCCGGGCCGGCCGAGCCAGGGGUGCUACCGGCAGAGCGCCGCGACCGUCCGCAUCACGCUGGAAGCCGCCUCCUCCGCCCAAAACUUUCCCUCCGAGUACGGGAAGUUCACGGCCGGCCCGAGCCGAGCCGAGCCGAGCCAAGCCGUGCCGGGCCACCCUUCCUGUCCCGGCGCGCAGAAGGGCUGCGCCUCCCUCCCGCUGCCCGCACCCUCGGGUCCCAUCCCCAUCCCCAUCCCUAUUCACUUCCCUAUCCCCUUCUCUAUCCCCAUCCUCAUCUCUAUCCCC